rnacentral:lncRNA from 1 species
GCUCAAGGAUGGAGGGUUUCAUAUCCUUCUGUAUUACCCCUUGCUAAAACAUAAGUAAGCAUAGUUAUGGAAAAAACACAUGGGCAGUCAUUGCUAAGACUCAGUGUAUUGAUGUCGUGUAGAAAAACAUGAUACAGAGAUCUGUUUUUGUGGUUUAUUUAAUUGUCUUUGUUGUUUAUAGUAUUUGCUCUGAAGUAUAACUCUAUAAAAUUUUAACAAAGACAAAGACAAUCUGUCUUAGCCCAAUAUUAGCCCUAUUCCCCACUUGGGAAAAAGUAUUUUAUAACACAUAUCAAAUCAGCCUUGGAGACCAUAGCAUCCAAUUAUGCCUAGAGUGUACUAGAUAUUCGAUAAGUGUUUGUUGAGUCAAUUACUUAAUGGACAAUAUAUAAUGGGUUGUUGUAAAUAAAGCAGAGCAGUGACUAAAAUGUUGACUUGGUCAUAUUGUGGGAGCAUUAAAGAAGGAAAACGCCUGGGAUUCAAUGCCCAUUCUAGGGCUGUCUGGUGCUAUGGCUCUGGGUAAUCCAUAACCACCCGGGGCCCCAGUUUCUUCAUUACUUGCCCUGUUCUUUGGUCAGACUGCACAGUCACUCCCUGUACAUGCAGCAUAAUUUCCCA